AUAUAAAAGACCAUUUAAUGAAGCUUUUGAAGAAACACCAAUGCUGGUUGCUGUGCUCACGUAUGUGGGGUAUGGCGUACUCACCCUCUUUGGAUAUCUUCGAGAUUUCUUGAGGUAUUGGAGAAUUGAAAAGUGUCACCAUGCAACAGAAAGAGAAGAACAAAAGGACUUUGUGUCAUUGUAUCAAGAUUUUGAAAACUUUUAUACAAGGAACCUGUACAUGAGGAUAAGAGACAACUGGAAUCGGCCAAUCUGUAGUGUGCCUGGAGCCAGGGUGGACAUCAUGGAGAGACAGUCUCAUGAUUAUAACUGGUCCUUCAAGUGAGUCUUGGUUGGGAAAUUAUUUAUUGACAACAAUUACAAAAGGGUUUCUUCAUUUGAGAAAAUAUGUUAUUAUAAAUUGAGUAUUCUCUCAAAAUAGGAGUAGCAGCUGAGGAUACAAUAUGAUUGAUUUCCUUACAUAUUCUUCACUGUUGAGCUUUUUAAGAUAUAUCUUUCUAUUACAUUUGAUAC
rnacentral:sRNA from 1 species